rnacentral:tRNA from 1 species
GCAUUGGUGGUUCAAUGGUAGGCUUCUUCCCUCCCAUGCAGGAGGCCUGGGGUCAACUCCCAGCCAGUGUA